rnacentral:rRNA from 1 species
UACGGGGGGAGCAAGCGUUGUUCGGAUUUACUGGGCGUAAAGGGCGCGUAGGCGGCGUGACAAGUCACUUGUGAAAUCUCCGGGCUUAACCCGGAGCGGCCAAGUGAUACUGUCGUGCUAGAGUGCGGAAGGGGCAACUGGAAUUCUCGGUGUAGCGGUGAAAUGCGUAGAUAUUGGGAAGAACACCGGUGGCGAAAGCGCUCUGCUGGACCUGCACUGACACUGAGGGACGAAAGCUAGGGGAGCGAAAGGG